AGCUAACGCCCUGGUUUAUCUCCAGAAGCUAGACUGAAUCAAGAAACUGCUGUCCCUAAAACAGUGCCGAGAAACCGUUUAAACCACAUCGUUGGACAGAAAUAGCGACGCAGAAAUACCUUAGGGGGCCGCUGGGGCAGUUUCCGCCAAUGCUCUUAUUACAAGCAUUAACAAGGUGUGGAGACCUGCAUUUCCUAGCCUGUGGGAACAACUCUGGGGAAAGGUGUUUGGCCAGACACAGCAGGAUUGGUGAUGCCAGCUCAGGAAAGACACGCCUCGCGAGAUCAGGCUGAAGCUCAGGCCCCUCCCAGCCCACUCCAGCUCUUAACACAUGCUCAGUCCCAGGCUGAGCAGGGGCUGCAGCUGGGAUGUGAGCACGCUUUGUUCUCAGAGGGUCGCCGUGUUGCAAGAAGCUUCCUGAUGAGGAAAGGUACGUUUCUGGGGGAGCUCAGCAGAGAGUGUAAAGGAUUUAC
rnacentral:lncRNA from 1 species